rnacentral:rRNA from 1 species
UACGGGGGGGGCAAGCGUUGUUCGGAAUUACUGGGCGUAAAGGGCUCGUAGGCGGCCAACUAAGUCGGAUGUGAAAUCCCCAGGCUUAACCUGGGAACUGCAUCCGAUACUGGAUGGCUUGAAUCCGGGAGAGGGAUGCAGAAUUCCAGGUGUAGCGGUGAAAUGCGUAGAUAUCUGGAGGAACACCGGUGGCGAAGGCGGCAUCCUGGACCAAUAUUGACGCUGAGGAGCGAAAGCCAGGGGAGCAAACGGG